rnacentral:rRNA from 1 species
GGUUUGAUUCGCGGUCAGAUUGGUCGCUGGCGGGGAGAUGCUUUUGCUACACAUGCAAGUCGAACGGCACGGACUUCGGCCCGGUGGCGAGUGGCGAACGGGUGAGUAAUGUAUCUGGAACGUAGCGGGGAUAAUCAGCGAGUGUAGCUAAUACGUGUAUACGCCCUUCGGGGAAAGCGGGGGACCUGGGCCUCGCAAUUAGAGCGGCCGAUAUCGGAUUAGCUAGUUGGUGGGCAACGGCUCACCGCGUUGGACAUCCGUAGCUGGUUUGAGAGGAACACCAGCCACCUGACUGAGCCACGGCCCAGACUCCUACGGGAGGCAGCAGGGGGAAUUUUGGACAAUGGGGAAACCUCCUGAUCCAGCCAUCCUUACGUGUGCGAUGAAGGCCUUCGGGUUGUAAAGCACUUUUGAGGUGAAACGGCACGGGAUAAUACCCCGUGCAACUGACGGUACUCUGGCAGAAUAAGCACCGGCUAACUACGUGCCAGCAGCCGCGGUAAUACGUAGGGUGCAAGCGUUAAUCGGAAUUACUGGGCGUAAAGCGUGGCAGGCGGUUCGAAAGAUGUGAAAUCCCAGAGCUUAACUUGGAACUUACUUCUUUAACUACUGAGCUAGAGUGUGUCAGGAGGGAGGUGGAAUUCCGCAGCAGUGAAAUGCGUGGUAUGCGAGAACACCAUUACGAAGGCAGCCUCCUGGGAUAACACUGACGCCUGCGCACGAAAGCGUGGGAGCAACAGGAUUAGAUAAUCAUAGUCCACGCCCUAAACGAUGUCAACUAGCCGUUGGGGCCUUCGGGCCUUGGUAGCAGCUAACAGUAAAGUUAACCGCCUGGGGACAUAACAAAGAUUAAACCCAAAGGAAUUGACGGGGACCCGCACAAGCGGUGGAUGAUGUGGAUUAAUUCGAUGCAACGCGAAAAACCUUACCUACCCUUGACAUGUCUGGAAUCCCGAAGAGAUUUGGGAGUGCUCGCAAGAGAACCGGAACACAGGUGCUGCACAUGUCGUCAGCUCGUGUCGUGAGAUGUUAAAGGUUUUGCAAUGGCGCAACCUCCUUGUCAUUAGCUGCUGAAGCAUACCGGAAUGAGACUGCUGCGCCAAACCGGCAGCGUGGAUGACGUCAAGUCCCUGCGGUCUUUGCGGUAGGCUUCACACGUCAUACAAUGGUCGGGACAGAGGGUCACCAACCCGCGAGGGGGGAGCCAAUCCCAGAAACCGAUCGCAGUCCGGAUCGCAGUCUGCAACUCGACUGCGUAGUCGGAAUCGUUGCAAUCGCGGAUCAGCAUGUCGCGGUGAAUACGUUCCCGGGUCUGUACAUUAACGCCCGUCACAACAAGGGAGUGGUUUUACCAGAAGUUAGCCUAACCGUAAGGAGGCGAUUACUACGGUAGGAUUCAUCAGGGCGAAGUCAUCAAACCUGUUAUCACCCUGAUGCCCUUGCGGGACAACU